GAGGUUGAUAGGUUCGGUGUGGAAGCGCGGUAACGCGUGGAGCUGACGAAUACUAAUCGGUCGAGGACUUAUCCAC
rnacentral:rRNA from 1 species